rnacentral:rRNA from 1 species
GAUAAACGCUGGCGGCGUGCAUAACACAUUCAAGUCGAACGGGAAUCGAAUGAUUGAGACUUCGGUCGAUUGAUUUCGAGGAUAGUGGCGGACGGGUGAGUAACGCGUGAGCAACCUGCCUUUGUGAGGGGGAUAACACAGGGAAACUUGUGCUAAUACCGCAUAAUGCAUAUCGAUUGCAUGGUUGAUAUGUUAAAGGAGUAAUCCGCAUAAAGAUGGGCUCGCGUCUGAUUAGAUAGUUGGUGAGGUAACGGCUCACCAAGUCGACGAUCAGUAGCCGGACUGAGAGGUUGAACGGCCACAUUGGAACUGAGAUACGGUCCAGACUCCUACGGGAGGCAGCAGUGGGAAUAUUGGGCAAUGGGCGAAAGCCUGACCCAGCGACGCCGCGUGAGGGAGAAGGUCUUCGGAUUGUAAACCUUUGUUGACAGGGAAGAAGAAAGUGACGGUACCUGUAAAGAAGAAGUCACGGCUAACUACGUGCCAGCAGCC